rnacentral:rRNA from 1 species
UUCGCAAUGCCCGAAAGGGUGACGAAGCGACGCCGCGUGGGUGAGGAAGGCCUUCGGGUUGUAAAGCCCUGUCAGGAGUUAAGAAAUGUAAGUGCGCUAAUAUCGCAUUUAUUUGACAAAGGCUCCAAAGGAAGCCACGGCUAACUCUGUGCCAGCAGCCGCGGUAAUACAGAGGUGGCAAGCGUUGUUCGGAAUUAUUGGGCGUAAAGAGCACGUAGGUGGGUUUGUAAGUCAGAUGUGAAAGCCUUCUGUUCAACGGAAGAAUUGCAUCUGAAACUGCAAGUCUUGAGUGUAGGAGGGGAGAAUGGAACUUCUUGUGGAGCGGUGAAAUGCGUAGAUAUCAGAAGGAACGCCGGCGGCGAAAGCGAUUCUCUGGCCUAUUACUGACACUCAGUGUGCGAAAGCUAGGGGAGCAAACGGGAUUAGAUACCCCGGUAGUCCUAGCUGUAAACGAUGGGCACUAAGUAGAGGGGUUUUA